CUUCUUCUUCUUCUUCUCCUUCUCGUUUGUCCCUCGCCAACCUGACAACACCCUGGAACCCUUACAACCUCGAUUGUCACAUUGCCACACCCACCCAUUGCGACCACGCUCUACCUCUUGUCUUGCCUGCAGCCCUCCGCGACUUCAACGACAACCUCACCUGCUAUAGGCUGUCAAAUCCGAGUCCAUCAUUGCAGCAAGUCAGCAACGCAGCCCAUCCAAGAUGCAUGUUUGGUUUAGAUAUUUAUUUUAUUUUAGUUUCGAUUUGUCAUUUUAGGUUUUGGGUUUUUUGAAUUGAACUUUUUGUUGCUAAUAUUUUGUAAUUGUAGAUCUAAAUUUUUGUUAUUAUUUUUUUAGUUGUACAUAUGCUAUUUUGAAAUUUCUUCUUGUUCUUGAA
rnacentral:misc_RNA from 1 species